rnacentral:rRNA from 1 species
AGAGUUUGAUCCUGGCUCAGAAUCAACGCUGGCGGCGCGCCUAACACAUGCAAGUCGAGCGAGAAAGGGAGCAAUCCUGAGUAAAGCGGCGUACGGGUGAGUAACACGUAGGUAUCCACCUCUUAGUGGGGAAUAACUCGGGGAAACCUGAGCUAAUACCGCAUAAGUCCGAGAGGAGAAAGCAGCAAUGCGCUGAGAGAGGAGCCUGCGGCCGAUUAGCUAGAUGGCGGGGUAAUGGCCCACCAUGGCGACGAUCGGUAGCCGGCCUGAGAGGGCACACGGCCACACUGGCACUGAAACACGGGCCAGACUCCUACGGGAGGCAGCAGUGGGGAAUCUUGCACAAUGGAGGAAACUCUGAUGCAGCGACGCCGCGUGGACGAUGAAGCCCUUCGGGGUGUAAAGUCCUUUCGACCGGAACGAUAAUGACGGUACCGGUGGAAGAAGCUGCGGCUAACUACGUGCCAGCAGCCGCGGUAAUACGUAGGCAGCAAGCGUUGUUCGGAAUUACUGGGCGUAAAGAGUUCGUAAGGCGGUGCGGCAGUUUGGUGUGAAAUCUCCCGGCUCAACUGGG